CCUACGGGUGGCAGCAGUGGGGAAUAUUGCACAAUGGGCGAAAGCCUGAUGCAGCAACGCCGCGUGAAGGAAGACGGUUUUCGGAUUGUAAACUUCUGUUCUUAGUGAAGAAUAAUGACGGUAACUAAGGAGCCAGCCCCGGCUACCUACGUGCCAGCAGCCGCGGUAAUACGUAGGUGGCAAGCGUUGUCCGGAAUUACUGGGUGUAAAGGGAGCGUAGGCGGGGAGUCAAGUCAGCUGUGAAAUCUACGGGCUUAACCUGUAGACUGCAGUUGAAACUGUCUUUCUGGAGUGAAGUAGAGGUUGGCGGAAUUCCGGGUGUAGCGGUGAAAUGCGUAGAUAUUCAGAGGAACACCGGUGGCGAAGGCGACCAACUGGGCUUUAACUGACGCUGAGGCACGAAAGUGUGGGGAGCAAACAGGAUUAGAUACCCGAGUAGUC
rnacentral:rRNA from 1 species